rnacentral:rRNA from 1 species
GAUGAACGCUGGCGGCGUGCCUAAUACAUGCAAGUCGAGCGAACGGACGAGAAGCUUGCUUCUCUGAUGUUAGCGGCGGACGGGUGAGUAACACGUGGAUAACCUACCUAUCAGACUGGGAUAACUUCGGGAAACCGGCGCUAAUACCGGAUAAUAUUUUGAACCGCAUGGUUCAAAAGUGAAAGACGGUCUUGCUGUCACUUAUAGAUGGAUCCGCGCUGCUUUAGCUAGUUGGUAAGGUAACAGCUUACCAAGGCAACGAUGCAUAGCCGAGGUGCGAGGGGGAUCGGCCACUCAGGAGCUGAGAGGCGGCCCAGACGCCUACGGGAGGCAGCAGUAGCGAAGCUUCCGAGAUGGGCGAAAGCCUGACGGAGCGACGGCGCGUGAGUGAUGAAGGUCUGCGGAUCGGAAAACUCUGUUAUGAGGGAAGAACACAUGUGUAAGUAACGGUGCGCAUCUGGACGGUACCUAAACAGAAAGCCACGGCAAACUACGU